rnacentral:lncRNA from 1 species
UGGUCAAAUUCUCAACAUAUGUACAACCUUCAUAAGCUUGUACAUAUUUCUUUUGUUAAUGCCUCCUUCGGCUUCAAACUGAGUGUUGAUGCCGUUAUGUUGAACAGGCGUACUGUCACAACCAAACCUUAUGUUUGAUGAUCAAAAUACACGAGGAGCAACAUUGCCACCAAAAUCUUUUUCGCCCUUUUCACCACCCUCAUCUUUAUUCUUCUCUUCAACCAAUUUCUCC